UCGUAACUAUCACUAUUUUCCCCUAUUUUUUCCCUCUUACAAGGUAAGGAGUACGUGUUUGUUGCCAAUUCAAAUAACUUGGGUGCUAUAGUUGAUUUGAUAAUCUUAAAUCAUUUGAUCCAAAACAAGAAUGAAUAUUGCAUGGAGGUGACUCCCAAAACAUUGGCUGAUGUGAAGGGUGGUACUUUGAUUUCUUAUGAAGGAAGAGUUCAGGCACGUAACCAUUGCUGAACCACCACUUCACAAUCAAGAUUUAGUUGAUUAAAUUUGUACUGUGAUGGUUGCAAAUUGGCCACAAAUUUAAUAGUUUUAAUGAUCUCCUAAGUUCUAAUUAUGAACUUAUUUUGUCUUAAUUCAAUUAUUAGUUUUAUUAAAGUAUUGUAAUUUUUUAAUUAUAAUUAUAGUAUGUAAAUAAUUCAUGUAAAUCAAUAAAAAAAUCAA